rnacentral:rRNA from 1 species
AUUGAACGCUGGCGGCAGGCUUAACACAUGCAAGUCGAGCGAGCGGCGGACGGGUGAGUAAUGUCUGGGAAACUGCCUGAUGGGGGGGGAUAACUACUGGAAACGGUAGCUAAUACCGCAUACCAUCAGAUGUGCCCAGAUGGGAUUAGCUAGUAGGUGGGGUAAUGGCUCACCUAGGCGACGAUCCCUAGCUGGUCUGAGAGGAUGACAGCCCACACUGGAACUGAGACAAGGUACAGAAUCCUACGGGAGGCAGCAGGGGGGAAUAUUGGACAAAGGGGGCAAGCGUGAUGCAGCAAUGCCGCGUGGGAGAAGAAGGCCUUCGGGUUGUAAAGCACGUUCAGCGAGGAGGAGUUACUCGCAGAAGAAGGACCGGCUAACGCCGGGCCAGAAGCCGCGGUAAUUC